rnacentral:rRNA from 1 species
AUUGAACGCUGGCGGCAGGCUUAACACAUGCAAGUCGAGCGGGGGAAGGUAGCUUGCUACCGGACCUAGCGGCGGACGGGUGAGUAAUGCUUAGGAAUCUGCCUAUUAGUGGGGGACAACAUCUCGAAAGGGAUGCUAAUACCGCAUACGUCCUACGGGAGAAAGCAGGGGAUCUUCGGACCUUGCGCUAAUAGAUGAGCCUAGGUCGGAUCAGCUAGUUGGUGGGGUAAAGGCCUACCAAGGCGACGAUCUGUAGCGGGUCUGAGGGGAUGAUCCGCCACACUGGGACUGAGACACGGCCCAGACUCCUACGGGAGGCAGCAGUGGGGAAUAUUGGACAAUGGGGGGAACCCUGAUCCAGCCAUGCCGCGUGUGUGAAGAAGGCCUUUUGGUUGUAAAGCACUUUAAGCGAGGAGGAGGCUACUCUAGUUAAUACCUAGGGAUAGUGGACGUUACUCGCAGAAUAAGCACCGGCUAACUCUGUGCCAGCCGCCGCCGUAA